GAUGAACGCUGGCGGCGUGCCUAAUACAUGCAAGUCGAGCGAACAGACGAGGAGCUUGCUCCUCUGACGUUAGCGGCUGACGGGUGAGUAACACGUGGAUAACCUACCUAUAAGACUGGGAUAACUUCGGGAAACCGGUGCCACUACCGGAUAAUAUAUUGAACCGCAUGGUUCAAUAGUGAAAGACGGCUUUGCUGUCACUUAUAGAUGGAUCCGCGCCGCAUUAGCUAGUUGGUAAGGUAACGGCUUACCAAGGCGACGAUGCGUAGCCGACCUGAGAGGAUGAUCAGCCACACUGGAACUGAGACACGGUCCAGACUCCUACGGGAGGCAGCAGUAGGGAAUCUUCGACAAUGGGCGCAAGCCUGACGGAGCAACGCCGCGUGAGUGAUGAAGGUCUUCGGAUUGUAAAACUCUGUUAUUAGGAAAGAACAAAUGUGGAAGUAACCAUGCACGUCUUGACGGUACCCAAUCAGAAAGCCACGGCUAACUACGUG
rnacentral:rRNA from 1 species